UACGUAGGGUGCGAGCGUUAAUCGGAAUACUGGGCGUAAAGCGUGCGCAGGCGGUGAUGUAAGACAGUUGUGAAAUCCCCGGGCUCAACCUGGGAAUUGCAUCUGUGACUGCAUCGCUAGAGUACGGUAGAGGGGGAUGGAAUUCCGCGUGUAGCAGUGAAAUGCGUAGAUAUGCGGAGGAACACCGAUGGCGAAGGCAAUCCCCUGGACCUGUACUGACGCUCAUGCACGAAAGCGUGGGAGC
rnacentral:rRNA from 1 species